UCUCCUGGAAACGGGUGGUAAUGCCGGAUGCUCCAUCACACCGCAUGGUGUGUUGGGAAAGCCUUUGCGGCAUGGGAUGGGGUCGCGUCCUAUCAGCUUGAUGGCGGGGUAACGGCCCACCAUGGCUUCGACGGGUAGCCGGCCUGAGAGGGCGACCGGCCACAUUGGGACUGAGAUACGGCCCAGACUCCUACGGGAGGCAGCAGUGGGGAAUAUUGCACAAUGGGCGCAAGCCUGAUGCAGCGACGCCGCGUGAGGGAUGGAGGCCUUCGGGUUGUAAACCUCUUUUAUCAGGGAGCAAGGCUUCGGUUGAGUGUACCUGUUGAAUAAGCACCGGCUAACUACGUGCCAGCAGCCGCGGUAAUACGUAGGGUGCAAGCGUUAUCCGGAAUUAUUGGGCGUAAAGGGCUCGUAGGCGGUUCGUCGCGUCCGGUGUGAAAGUCCAUCGCUUAACGGUGGAUCCGCGCCGGGUACGGGCGGGCUUGAGUGCGGUAGGGGAGACUGGAAUUCCCGGUGUAACGGUGGAAUGUGUAGAUAUC
rnacentral:rRNA from 1 species